rnacentral:lncRNA from 1 species
CUCUGUCUCAAAUAAAUGAAUGAAUGAAUGGAUGAAUGUGAUGUGAAAGGCUUAAACCCAUAACUAUUAUUCAAGAAGAAAAACUACUCAUUGGUUGGGGCAGUGGUUCACGCCUGUAAUCCCAGCACUUUGGGUGGCUGAGGCAGGUGGAUCAAGAGGUCAGGAGUUCGAGACUGGAAAAAGUAAAGAAAAAGUACUCAUUAAAACUAAAAACCAUAAAAUUCUAUCUUCCACAAAAACAAAUCAACCUUAUCUACAGCGCAGGCCUACCCAACUAUGGAAUGAUGGAACAGAAGGCCUCACCAUGGACUCGAGAGCUGACAUGAGGAAUGUCACCACCAUCCUGCUCUCCGAGGACUCCUCAUCUUCAACGGGCAGGGUGGACAUUGCAACUUGGGCCAUGAUCCCUGUGCAGGAGAAGUAAGAAGAAAGUGAGUGGUAGAAAUCUGGUGUCCUGAACCCACAGCCAAAGCUGUGAGGGCCCCUCACGGGCUGCCUAAUUUACAGUUUUCUUGCUCUAGAGACAAAAUAAGGCUCAGAAACUAAGUAUUUGACUUGCCCCACACCCUCAUAAGAUAAAGAAUCUAUCCCCUAACUUUCUAUAUAUUGUUAUUUCCAGAAAAUUGGGUCAAUAUCACACCCCAAAUAAAUCCAGGUGGCACCCAGAAUCAGUAUCCCAGCACUUUGGGAGGCUGAGGCAGGAGAAUUGCUUGAACCCAGGAGGCGGAGGCUGCAGUGAGCGGAGAUCGCACCACUGCACUCCAGUCUGGGUGACAAGAGCAAAACUCCGUCUCAAAAANNNNNNNNNNGAACUCCCGACCUCAGGUGAUCCACCUGCCUCGGCCU